UUUCCGCAGGUGAACCUGCGGAAGGAUCAUUAUCGAAUCUCGAGGGGAAGGAAGUUGAUGAGUGGAGACAGUCGCUGGCUUUCCCACCUGGGAAGCAUGUGCACGCCUUGCUUUUCUUUGACCUUUCUCUUACUCUCACACCUGUGCACCCAUUGUAGGUCCUCGAAAGAGGAUCUAUGUUUUUAUCAUCACACGCAUAGUAUGUCCAUAGAAUGUAACAUGAUCGUCAAUCGACCUCGCAGUCGAGAGGCGGUCUAAAUAAAUAAAUACAACUUUCAGCAACGGAUCUCUUGGCUCUC
rnacentral:misc_RNA from 1 species